rnacentral:rRNA from 1 species
GACGAACGCUGGCGGCGUGCUUAACACAUGCAAGUCGAGCGACGCUCUCCCUUCGGGGAGAUGACGGAGCGGCGAACGGGUGAGUAACACGUGGGCAACCUGCCCCUAGCUCUGGGACAACACCGGGAAACCGGUGCUAAUACCGGAUAUGACAUCGAGCGGCAUCUCUCGAUGUGGAAAGUUUUUUCGGCUAGGGAUGGGCCCGCGGCCUAUCAGCUUGUUGGUGGGGUAAUGGCCCACCAAGGCGACGACGGGUAGCCGGCCUGAGAGGGCGACCGGCCACACUGGGACUGAGACACGGCCCAGACUCCUACGGGAGGCAGCAGUGGGGAAUAUUGCGCAAUGGGCGAAAGCCUGACGCAGCGACGCCGCGUGAGGGAUGACGGCCUUCGGGUUGUAAACCUCUUUCAGCAGGGACGAAUUCAGACGGUACCUGCAGAAGAAGCACCGGCCAACUACGUGCCAG